UACAGAGGGGGCAAGCGUUGUUCGGAAUCACUGGGCGUAAAGGGCUCGUAGGCGGUUUGUCGCGUCGGGAGUGAAAACCCAGGGCUUAACCCUGGGCUGGCUUUCGAUACGGGCAGACUAGAGGUAUGCAGGGGAGAACGGAAUUCCUGGUGUAGCGGUGAAAUGCGCAGAUAUCAGGAGGAACACCGGUGGCGAAGGCGGUUCUCUGGGCAUUACCUGACGCUGAGGAGCGAAAGUGUGGGGAGCGAACAGG
rnacentral:rRNA from 1 species